rnacentral:lncRNA from 1 species
CAGCUGUGUGUGCUGGGCCCACUGAUCAGGGUGCUCAGGACCAGGAGCCUUCUGAGGAUGUGCAGAGGGGACUCUGGGGAGAGGAACAUGGUGGCCACAGCUGGAGUGACCGCAGUGUACAGAGAUGGGAUGGGAGCAGGAAACCCAAAAGAGCCGGCCCUGGAACCAGGUGGAGGGGAGGCAGCCCGGCCAUGACCCAGAGCAGGACACCUGCUCCACUUCACCUUUUGCCAUGAGUAAAAGCUCCCUGAGGCCUCCCAAGAAGUUGAUGCCCUGUGCUUCCUGUACAGCUGCGGAACCGGAUGGCUUUCCGUGGCUUUGCUACAGCCACUCCUGGAAGUGCUGCCUGACUGAAUCCUCAGGGCACCCCGGCAGGAUGGACGUGGUGUACCCCCUACUUUACAGAUGGGGAAACUGAGGCUUGAGAGCUAAAGCAGCCCACCCAGCUCCCAGAGAUGAGGAGGCCGACUCUGGCAGGAGUCACUGUCGGUGCAUGGGCAUUUCUUCCUGUUACAGCCUGCGGCCCCUUCCAGGCCGGGAGGCCUUCUGCGCAGGGGCACCCUCCCUGCAUGGCCCGAUGACCUGCACUCCUGUUUCAUCUCCCCGUGUGGCACCUGGGGCAGCUUGGAGCCUACCAAGGUCUCAACAAGGAACCAGUAAAUACCAAAAAAAGGACAUCACGUCCCCUACAGCUAACUGCAAAUGGUGACCAUCCCAGCCCUUGUUUGAUAACACAAGCAAAGCAAUGGCUUCUUCAAGGACACCGAGAGGAACCUCACCUCUUUCUAAAACCUCCAACACAGGGCCAGGCGCGGUGGCUCAUGCGUGUAAUCCCAGCACUUUGGGAGGCCGAGGCAGGUGGAUCACGAGGUCAGGAGAUCGAGACCAUCCUGGCUAACACGGUGAAACCCCGUCUCUACUAAAAAUAAAAAAAAUUAGCCGGGCGUGGUGGUGUGCGCCUGUAGUCCCAGCUGCUCGGGGAGGCUGAGGUAGGAGAAUAGCGUGAACCCAGAAGGUGGAGGUAGCAGUGAGCCGAGAUCACUCCACUGCACUCCAGCCUGGGCAACAGAGCAAGACUCCAUCUCAAAAAACAAACAAACCUCCAACACCACCUGGAAGGGCCUGGAGGCACUCACUGAUGAGCCUGGAAUUUCUCACAGGGGACAGAGAGGUGGCCAAGGCUCCUGCACAUUUCCCCAUCUGUCUGACACCCCUUUCCAGAACCAGAAAGCGUGCUGAGCUCGGCCUCUGUCACGCAGGGUUCCAGGUAUUUCUGGGGCUCAGCAGGGAGAAGGCCAGGACGUGCUCCCUGACUCUCGGCAGGGCGGGAGAAGAAUGAAUCCUCUGAGGUCCCCAGCUUGGGGAAAAGGGGGUGGGAGAGUGGCGGGCAGAGACCUCCUCCGUAUCCCCCUCUCCUGAAGCCCUGCCGCUGUGGCAGCCCUACAGGGACUACAGGGCUCCAGCCCUACAGGGACUCUGCGGUGGGGCGGGUGUGCAGGCUCACAGGCUCUGGAAAUGCCCCAGGAUGCCUUGGCAGUGUCUCCCACAGACCCAGGAGCGCCACUAGAAACAGGACCCUUCCUCAGUCAUCCUGCAUGGGGGCUCCUGUUGCUUUGGGGGCUGCUUUCCAGCAGCUGCGUCAGACAACGACCCACCUCAUCCCCCCAGCCAGGACCUGAACAGGCACUGACGUCAGAUACGUAGACCUUGUUGCUGAACUUGUCAAAAACUUCAAUGGUGAUUUCAUACAGGCGGCCGGUCUCCAGCACCCACCUAUCACCAGGGUGAAUGGUGAACCCUAAAACAGGCAGGGGGAGCCUGAGCACUCAGGCCUCAGGGGCAGCAGGGUGGAGGAGGAUGGGACCACCACCCUCAGCACAGGGGCCCUCAGCAUCCACAUGGGAAGCCCCACUCCACCCACCUGUAGGCCCCACACCACCCACCUGCAGGCCCCACACCACUUACCUGGAGGCCCCACACCACCCACCUAGGGGCCCCACAAUUAUGGCGCUGGCCUCCUCCACAGAGAGGGACCUGUUGCUGAGGAACAGAUGCCUGAUGCCGCCUUCAGCCCUGAGUCCUGAGCUGACCUCCCGAGGACCAAACCUGGACUCAUCCCAUUCUAUCUGAACAAGGCUCCUUCAAACUUGUUCCUGUUCCUCAGUGGGUCUACACUCAGAAUCCUAGCAGCUCUGUCCUUAACACACAGCAGGUCUAUGCUCUGAAGUGAUAAUAGAUCUAUAGUGUUCACAGUAGAACUAGUCUGAACCUUCAGGGGGUCUGUGCUCUGAGGAGGGAUGGACAUAGACUCCAAGAAAGUGAUGAUUCUGGAAAAGGAACGCGUUGUUAAAGUUUGUUGAUCAAACCCAGACACAAGGUCUGUCAGAAUCUACCACAGCAUUCCCUAUCAGCCCCUCCCACUGGGGCCAACACUGAAGAAAUAAGGGGUGUCCCGUUAGUCAGGGCUGGGGCUACCUAGAGACAUGUCCCUGCAGCUUCCUACAUCAGAUCUGCCCAUGUCCUUGUGAAAAAUGCAGAUGCUUGGCCCCUGGCCCAGGCUGUGUCUGCAAGAAGCCUGGGAAACUCCAUUUUAUCCACCU